rnacentral:rRNA from 1 species
AGUGGGGAAUCUUGCACAAUGGAGGAAACUCUGAUGCAGCGAUGCCGCGUGAGUGAAGAAGGCCCUUGGGUUGUAAAGCUCUUUCGUCGGGGAAGAAAAUGACUGUACCCGAAUAAGAAGGUCCGGCUAACUUCGUGCCAGCAGCCGCGGUAAUACGAAGGGACCUAGCGUAGUUCGGAAUUACUGGGCUUAAAGAGUUCGUAGGUGGUUGAAAAAGUUAGUGGUGAAAUCCCAGAGCUUAACUCUGGAACUGCCAUUAAAACUUUUCAGCUAGAGUAUGAUAGAGGAAAGCAGAAUUUCUAGUGUAGAGGUGAAAUUCGUAGAUAUUAGAAAGAAUACCAAUUGCGAAGGCAGCUUUCUGGAUCAUUACUGACACUGAGGAACGAAAGCAUGGGUAGCGAAGAGGAUUAGAUACCCUCGUAGUCCAUGCCGUAAACGAUGUGUGUUAGACGUUGGAAAUUUAUUUUCAGUGUCGCAGCGAAAGCGAUAAACACACCNCCUGGGGAGUAC